rnacentral:lncRNA from 1 species
UUAAACACUAUUCCACUAGAAUUCUGUCUUGAGUUUUAGUUUUUCUUUGAAAAAAAGCAAUUUCUGAACCCUUUUGAGUGAAAAAAUGGUUUAAUCCCGCAUUAGAAAAGCUCUGGGGUAUCAGUUUGUAUUGAAGUUUCAUUGUUCCAUUCAUUUCUUGCUUGGGUUUCUGAAGCUUUCAAAGAUAUAAAAUAGUUCCUGGUUCACCUGAGUUUGAAUAUGAACUGAUUUGGGUGUGGAAACUAGUUCGAAAUUAAGCCCUGGGGUCUGCUAGUUUGUUGCUCAUUUUUGAGUUGGAUUUUUUCUGCUGAUUUUGCUCAAACCUGGUUGCUGUGUUGUUACUUGCUAGCUACUGAUCCUGCUUGGUUCUGUUUUUUGUUCUUUUUCAGGUACAAGUUCUGAAUCUCUCAUCAUGUAAAACCCAAUUUGAUGAUGAAAUGGAAGAAAUGUCAUGCCAUAAGAUGUGUCUUUUACAUAUGGUUCAUAGUGUAGUGUAGUCAAUUUCCGUUUAAGAAAUAAUUUUUCAUGUUGUAAUUAACUAUGGACUGUUGAACUCGUGAUAUACUUAUAUCUUAUUUAGUAAUUUUAGCUUUAGUGUAGGUUAAUUCUAGCAAUCCAUGUUAGCUAAAUAUAAUAAUUGUUUUAAGAAUUGUCAGAUUGUAUUAUUGUCCAUAGGUGUAAGCUUGCUAUCCUUUUAGUAGUUUAGCUAUGCCAUGAUAAUUGAGCUUUUGUUGUUAAUAGAACCUAAAAAUCAUGAGAGGAUAACUCAUUAAUGGUACUGAUCUCUUUUAAGUGUUUUCAAGGUUUUGUUACCACGUUUGAAAUGUUAGUUUAAGUUUGAAAUCUUAAAUAUUAUAUGAGCAUGAAAAUCACUAUAGGAUUGAUAUGUUUGUUUGUACAAGUACUAAUCAGUUUGUCCAUUUUGCAGAUUAUAAAAAGUGAAAUUUAAAAGGGCUGGCUUGUGAAUCGAGUAGCAGAUACGAGCUAAGUAUACUGUCCUUAUUAGAAGCAGUCCUUGUUUGAGUUUGGGCUCAUCCUCAGGCUCAGGCCUUUUAAUUUCAUGUUCAUGUGUUGGUAUCAAUUUGUGCUUGUAUUAUUAGAUCUUGAUCUGAACCGUUUGAACCAUAAGAACUGGGCCCAAUGAUUGGCCCAGUUACAUAACAAGUGAGCAUAGAGGUCGUUUGUGUAUAUAUAUAUAUAUAUAUAUAUAUAUUGGUUCCAUUUAAUGCUAUUUUAUUGAAUUCAGUUGGUUUUGGGCUUGAAG